rnacentral:rRNA from 1 species
UACGGGGGGGGCAAGCGUUGUUCGGAAUUACUGGGCGUAAAGGGCUCGUAGGCGGCCAACUAAGUCCGACGUGAAAUCCCCAGGCUUAACCUGGGAACUGCGUCGGAUACUGGAUGGCUUGAAUUCGGGAGAGGGAUGCAGAAUUCCAGGUGUAGCGGUGAAAUGCGUAGAUAUCUGGAGGAAUACCGGUGGCGAAGGCGGCAUCCUGGACUGACAUUGACGCUGAUGAGCGAAAGCUAGGGGAGCAAACGGG